AUUGGCUGGGCAGGCUGCCACUCCCAGGGCAGCAGGGUAAGUGGUGCUUAUCACGUGCCCGGAAUCACCUGACUAGCAGCGGCUGAAGUGGGGGCGGCGCGGGGGGGAGGAGUCACGAGGAGAUGGCAGGGCCGCGCCUCUCGUCGGUCUCCGGGCUUUCGCCCUGGGGGCAGCCCGCACGCACCUCUGCCUUCCCUGCGCGUGCUGGGCUGCUCCCCGCCUCCUUCCGGGCUCCGAGUGUACCGCAGGGAAGAUGCUUCUAGGCGUCUGGGGCUUCUUCUCUGGUGCUGAGGCCACUCACUGACAUCAAGCCACGAGCGGAGGAGGAAUGUGUAAUGGAUGCAGGAGGUGUGCAAGUCCACACCUCUGCAUGCAAGAACAGGACAAAAAGCUGCAUGAAGAAACAGAGAAGGUGGAGAAACAGGAUCCCAAACAGAGCCCAGAACUGUUUGUUCUGUUACCUCAGAACACUGACCUGCAAGCACGCCUGCCAGGUACACCAGCCCCACUCGGAGGCCUUUGUGGACCAUCUCCAAGGGAAUACCCAGGACGAGCUGCAUAAAAAGAUUCCCCACGAUGUGCUGGACUCUGCAGAGACAAACACGGGAAACCAUGACCAGUGAAGCUGACUUAAGGAACGAAGUCAGGUGUGGUGGUGCACAACCUUAAUCCCAUUUCCUGGAAGCAGAGGCAGGGUCUCUCUGGAACCUGAAGCAAGUGUCGUUCAGCUAGACUGUUAGCUGGCGAGCACAGCGAUUCCUCCUGUGUCCAGCACUGAAACUGCAGCCGCAUGAGCCACGCCCAGGGGGCGGGUCCUCUUCGCACCGCCCCCCAAUCCCGUCUGCCCGCGUGCCUUCUCUCCACCUCUACUGCUUCUCUAUACAGUACAUACCUCUUUAUGCUGCUCUUCAACUGAUACACAGCAAGUCCCUUACAUCAGUCAAAACGCUCACAAGUUAAUUUUUUACAGAGUGUGUUUGCAGGAGGCAGUCUGGUGAUUCAGUUUGACUCCUUCAUCACCUAAAUGGAGCACUGGACAACAUCCAGUUCACACUCUCCAUCUCCAUCUCGUGAGCAGCAGCCAUCGUCCUGGUCCUCCCUCCGCCUGAAACAGACAUGAAUGUGAAUGGGGGUGGAGGAGGGUGGAGGACCCACAUCGUGAAAGCAGAGAACUGACUCUUGAGAGGCGUCUUCUAACUUCUACCCAACACACAGAGAAUAAAAUGUUUUAAAUGCAAUUUACAAUAGAUAACUAAGCCGAGUGUGUUGGUGAGCACCAGAAACUCCAUCCGUUGAGAGGCAGAGGCAAGAGGCCAAGGACACCACAGCAGUAUCGUGAGGUCCAAGCCAGCCUGGGCUGCAAGAGACCUCAUCUCCACAACAAACUCCAGCUUCCAGAGGACUCUGCUGGGAUCACAGACACCUACCAGCCCAUCUGGCUUUUCUUGGAUUCCAAGGAUCUGAACUCAGCUGGUGAGGCUGUUAUGGCGAACCAUCUCCCUAGCUCUCCAUCUCCCUGGAUUUGGCUAGGCUGGCUGGCUAUGAUCGUCAGAGAUUAACCUACCCCUCUUCCCAGUACUGGGAUGACACACUGUCUCCACUGCACCUGGCUUUUUAAUGUGUACAGCAAGCCCUUUACUGACUGUGCCAUCUCCCUAGCCCCUCAUCUCUCUCUUGAAGACUAAUUCCUAUGGUGGGUGGCACUUAAAACUUCCAAAGCUCUUCCUGUACCUAAGAGACACACAGAGUGGACCUACGAAUAUCAGACAUUCAAAGCAUCACUGAAUUUGAUAUUCUACCCCACUCCAUCCAAAACUUUUAUUUGAGGCUGAAGAAAACCCACCACCACCAACAACAACAAUAAGAAUAAACAAAA
rnacentral:sRNA from 1 species